rnacentral:rRNA from 1 species
AUGGGGUGCUUCCAGUCCAAGCCGGCGGGGAAGCCGCUCCCGCCCGACGCCGACGCCGCCCUCCCGCCCGACGACUCCGCAGAUCCCGAGGCGGCGAACGGAGCGGACGGGGCGGGCGCGGACGGCGACGACAAGGACGGGGCGAAGCGGGCGGUGCCGGUCUUCAGGGAGUUCGGGCUCGCCGAGCUGCGGGCCGCCACCAAGGGCUUCAGCGCCGACCUCAUCGUCUCCGAGAGCGGCGAGAAGGCGCCCAACGUCGUCUACCGGGGCCGCCUCGACGGCGGCCGCCUCAUCGCCGUCAAGCGCUUCUCCCGCCUCUCGUGGCCCGACCCGCAGCAGUUCCUCGCGGAAGCGGCCGGCGUGGGGAAGGUGCGGCACAAGCGCCUCGUCAACCUCAUUGGCUGCUGCGCCGAGGGUGACGAGAGGCUGCUCGUCGCGGAGUACAUGCCCAACGACACAUUGUCCAAGCACCUCUUCCACUGGGAUAAGCAGCCGUUGCCAUGGGAAAUGCGGUUGAGGGUCGCACACUACAUUGCACAAGCUCUCGAUCAUUGCAAUGCAGAGAACAGGAAAAUCUAUCAUGACUUGAAUGCCUACAGAGUACUUUUUGAUGAGGAAGGUGAUCCUCGCUUGUCAAGUUUUGGGCUAAUGAAGAACAGCCGCGACGGAAAAAGUUAUAGCACUAACCUGGCUUACACCCCGCCAGAGUUCCUACGAACGGGCAGAGUCAUCGCUGAGAGUGUGAUAUAUAGCUACGGAACAGUUCUGUUGGAUCUUUUGAGUGGGAAACACAUUCCUCCAAGUCAUGCACUUGAUUUGAUAAGGGGAAAGAACAUACUGCUAUUGAUGGAUUCCUCCUUAGAAGGGCAAUAUGCUAAUGACGAUGCUUCAAAAUUAGUCGAUCUUGCAUCAAAGUGCUUGCAGUUUGAAGCUAGGGACAGACCCAAUAUAAAGUAUUUAUUGUCUUCUGUUGGGCCUCUUCAGAAGCAAAAGGAGGUGGCGUCGCAUGUGUUGAUGGGCAUCACAAAAACCGCGUCGGUCUUACCUACUAUUCUUUCUCCACUUGGAAAGGCAUGCGCCGGAAUGGACCUUACAGCAGUACAUGAUAUAUUGCUCAAAACAGGUUACAAAGACGAUGAAGGUGCAGAAAAUGAGUUGUCCUUUCAAGAAUGGACUCAGCAAGUGCAAGAGAUGCUGAACACAAAGAAGUUUGGUGAUAUUGCAUUUCGAGAUAAGGAUUUCAAGACUGCAAUUGACUACUAUUCAAAGCUAGUUGGAAUGAUGUCAGUACCUUCAGCUACAGUUUUCGCCAGGCGGAGUUUUUCGUACCUGAUGAACGGUCAGUCGGAGCUUGCUCUACGCGACGCAAUGCAGGCCCAGGUCUGCAUGCCCGAAUGGCCUACUGCAUUCUACCUCCAAGCCCUAGCUCUCUCAAAGCUUGGAAUGGAAACCGAUGCACAGGACAUGCUCAACGACGGAGCCACCUUUGAGGCCAAGAAGCAAAACAGCUGGCGUGGUUAG